AGUGAACGCUGGCGGUAGGCCUAACACAUGCGAGUCGAACGGCAGCACAGUAAGAGCUUGCUCUUACGGGUGGCGAGUGGCGGACGGGUGAGGAAUACAUCGGAAUCUACUUUUUCGUGGGGGAUAACGUAGGGAAACUUACGCUAAUACCGCAUACGACCUACGGUUGAAAGCAGGGGAUCUUCGCACCUUGCGCGAUUGAAUGAGCCGAUGUCGGAUUAGCUAGUUGGCGGGGUAAAGGCCCACCAAGGCGACGAUCCGUAGCUGGUCUGAGAGGAUGAUAAGCCACACUGGAACUGAGACACGGUCCAGACUCCUACGGGAGGCAGCAGUGGGGAAUAUUGGACAAUGGGCGCAAGCCUGAUCCAGCCAUACCGCGUGGGUGAAGAAGGCCUUCGGGUUGUAAAGCCCUUUUGUUGGGAAAGAAAAGCAGCAGGUUAAUACCCAGCUGUUCUGACGGUACCCAAAGAAUAAGCACCGGCUAACUUCGUG
rnacentral:rRNA from 1 species